rnacentral:lncRNA from 1 species
CCCGCUCUUAAACCGCCGCGCCAAGAAACUGCCCAGGGGAGGGACGUUGCUUCCCCGAGCCGCCGCCUCCUCCUCCCAGCGCCGCCGCCCCGAAGACGCGUCCCGCGGUGCCGGGGAAGCGUCCCGCUGCGCCCCGCUGCCGGCAGCGCCCGCUGUCAACACCAGGCGCUCGUUCGCUGCCUCCCGUGCACCGGGGCGGUGUGCCUGCUGUCCCCACCGUGCGUCCCCGCCAGGCCGAGGUGUAAGGCACGCUCCCACGUAGCACUGCCGGCCGAAAGGGCUCCCCGAGGGCAUGGCUGCCCAGGGGCAGGGCCACAGCUGAAGAUGUGUUUCUGGAGGAGAGUUUCUGGAGGGUGCACAUUGCCACAACCCCAAGGCCAUCAUGAUAGAGGACAGCCAUUGAAAAGACCAAUGAUGCUCUCUGUGCUGCCCCACACCUUGCCUCUUCUUCCUAUGCACCUGAUAUAUGUGCAACUAAGGGUGAGUUGAAUCUGUUUUUUUUUUUUUAUUAUUUUUUUUGGAAGGUUAGUUU